rnacentral:tRNA from 1 species
UUAGCUCAGCUGGUUUAGAGCAUCUGCCUUACAAGCAGAGGGUCGGCGGUUCGAAUCCGUCAACGCC